CGGGAUCCGCCUCGGCCAGCGAACCAUUGCUGCACUCUGGCGAGGACUCUGCUUCUAGGACUGGAAUUGCGAGUGGGUGGAGUCGCCUGGAGGCAGCUGGCUCCGCCCGACCCUCCGGCGAGUCCAGAACACAGUUACCUGCCCCGGUUGCCCGCCAGAACGCAAAGGGAGAGGAACACGCCAGACCGGAAACGGAAGAGAGUGCGGGGGACUUAUUUGGCACCGGGACGCGCUAUUUCGGUUGCACUCCUGGUUGGCUUUGUGUCUUCGCUGUUUCCUAGAGUCUCGGCGUUCCUACCUCUGCGCCCCCUUUCCUGCCACCGUUUGUUCUCUGGAAGCCCGGAGACAUCAGCGGCUGUAAUUGUGCUACUCGCUGCUCGCUAUGGGACGGUCAGAAGCAAGACCCUGAGUCCCGAGUUGGUGGCAGCUGCAUCUGCUAUUCCCUUUUGACAAGCAAACAAGCCAGAGCUGCUCAGGCAGCUCAGUAGCAUGAGGAAGAGUCAGGGGCACAGAGAGAUGGAUGGAGACCUAAAAUUAGUAGCAGAAUAUCAGAUAUGAAAGUUGCCAGAUGUGCUACACCUAGAGUUAGUAUAAGAACAGAGCAUCAGAUUCAGUUUGCCCAAGGCUAUGACAAUUAUCCUGACCAGGAGAAGACUGCUGAUCUUAGAAAAAGACAUAUGACCUUCUCUUUGGGAUGUGGAAUUUGCUAAGCAGUUAGCCACAGAAAAUGAACAACUCCUUCAGAAUGGGUUUGAAAAGCUGAUCCAGUGGACAAAAGAAGGGAAACUGUAGGAGUUCCCAGUUAACAGUGAAGCAGAUUCCUUGGGAAUACAUAAUGUUCGUAUAUGGAAACUCUCAAUGCCUUUCUUGCUAACUGUAGGAUAAAGUCCAAAAUCCUUAGCUUAACAUUCAAAUUCCUCCAUCAAACUGGGUUCCUAGGCCGACUAUUUCAGAGUUAAUGUAAUUCUCUUCUUUUUUGAGAUAGUGUCUCGCUCUGUCACCCAGUCUGGAGUGCAGUGGCACAGUCUUGGCUUGCUGCAUCCACCUCCCAGGUCUCAAGCGAUCCUCUCACCUCAGCCUCCCGAAUUGCUGGAAACAUCGGCUUGCACCAUGCCUGGCUAAUUGGAUUUUGUAUUUUGUGUAGAAAAAGGUUUUCAUCAUGUUGCCCAGUCUGGUCUUCAACUCCUGGGCUCAAGAGAUCCACUCCUCCUUGGCCUUCCAAAGUGCGGGCAUUACAGGUGUGAGCCAUUGCACCCAGCUGAUGUUUUUCAUAAAAUGCAAAUUCUUUGGUUCCACCCCAUACCUACUGAAUUUGUAUCUCAUGGGAAAGCUAUACAGUUUGCAUUUUUUACUAGUAUUGUUUAUUUCUUGCUACUCAGAGUGGUGCCAAGUGAGAUGCUCCUUUGACAAUCUCAGCCAUUUCCAUGGCUCGGUCACAUCUGAUAUCCACAUCCAAUCAGUCAUGCAGCCCAGGCAAUUUACCUCCUGAAAAGCUUUUGUCAUUCAUCUUCAUGUUUCGACUUUAAGUUACCAUCAUUUCUUGCAAUGAAUAUGCAAACUUCUGAACAGGGUUUACAAGCACCAGUAUGAUCUGCCCCUAUAUCAUGUCUUGACUCUCUGUAGCCCUAACAUAUUCUGGUCACCAACUCUUGAGUAAGACAUGGCUCUCAAUACUUGGUCUCUCCACACCAAAUCAUUGAUUCAACAUUGUUUUUCAAGGAAGGACCUGUGAUGCCACUGUUACUGUCCUUUAUUCUGUGUUUCUGUUUAUCAGUAAGGAGACCUUUCCCAGAAUCCCUGAGCAGACAUCUCAUACAUGGCCCAUUGGCUAGAUUAGUUAUUAUACCCCUUCCUAAACCGUACUGUUGCCCAAUAUGGCCAAAAAUGUGGGGUUGGGGUCCCAACAAUGUGGGAUGUCGGAUUACCACAAAUGACUUAGUCAUGUGCUGGAGAAACAAAAUUGAGGCUCCACAGCAAGGGAAGAAGGGAGGAAUGAAGUAUUCUAUGUUUAUAUAUACACACGUCCUUUCUGUAUAAACAUUCAAAAAUGUUCAUGCCCAUGUGAAAAAUGUAUUUAUUUCCCAAAGAGAAUCAGCCAGAAUCUCAUCAGGAUACUCUGUCCAGCUUCAUGUCUGAUACUCUGGUGGGACAUGCAGGCUGUGGCUGCCUGGUGUCUUAUCCUCAACAGUCACAUGUGAUAUGAGCACUGGGAAGAAGACUCUAAGGCUGCUCAACUUUAGAGUACAUUUCCUUAUGGUGUGAGUUUGAUGUCCUGUCUCAGAGUCACUAUUUUCCCAGGCUGAAACAGUUGUGUCUCAAUGCCCUCCAUUUUGCCUUUUCCACCUGGCCAGUUACAGACCAUUCCAGAUCUGUUUUGUAGCACUCCACUUCCAAAUACCAAAUUGUCUAUCGGUUUGGAUUCUUAAGCAACAGAGAUGGAUUCUAGUUUUCAGUAUAAGAUAAAUUGAAUUAGAAGAAUAUUGUUCUGCUCACAGAAUGGCCAAAAGGACUAGAGAAUCAGCAUCAAUCUGAGCCACAUGGCUAGGAAUAAAUCCUGCAACGAUACUGCAUAACUGGUUGGGUGAGGAAAUUGUAGCCACUGUUGCCAAGCACUGACACACUGUGCUUUGUAACACUAUCUACUGCUUUGGAAAUUUGAUCUUGACACAUGUGCUGCUGCAUCUGGAGAGGAUAUGCUAAGGUCCUGCCUUGAUUUGUUGUUGUUAACCAGCUACCAAUUUUAAAGUUUGUGCAAGUUCAGUUAAGUUGUUUAGUAUUUCAGCUUUUAUAGAGGGAGACUGGCUCAGUGGGAAGACUCAAGGAAUUCCCCAAACAAAAGAAAGACCUACUUAAGGACAAAUCCAGGUUUUAUAGUGCCAAAAUUUACACAAUUUGGUGGGGUUGUGGAAGUUGAAAGGGGAUUUAUUUAGGAAAAAUACAUAUAAAUUUAUAAUAAAUUAGAGGAUUUGAAGGGGCUUUUGCAGAUGAACAUCCCUGAAGUUCUACUUCCCAAAUCACUGCACUAGCUCUGCUUUCCAGCCACUUUGCUCAGCAGUUUAUCUCAUGCUGGUUAACUCCUAUAUGUUCUUCAGGCUUCGGCUGGGACAUUGCUUCCUCUAAGAGCUUUCUCUGAGCUUUCAAAAUCUUCUGACUGCUCUCAUAGAACCCUUUAAUCUCUCCCAUUUAGACAUAUAUGACACUAUAAUAAUUGCCUGUUGAUAUGCAUGAUUCCAACACAAGAUUAUUAAGUACCAAGAUUGCAGUCAUUUUAGUAUCCCCAGUCCCUAGCAUAUCUAUAAAUAGUAGGGACUCAAUAUUUAUUAAAUGAGAAAACUACAUAUUGUCCUUGCCACCACCUUCUCCCCCUUUUUCUUAAGGUAGAUGUUGCUCUGUUGCCCAGGUUGGAGUGCAGUAGCAUAAUAGUAGCUCACUGUAGCCUUGACCUCCUGGGCUCAAGCAAUCCUCCUACCUCAGCCUCAGGAGUAGUUGGGACUACAGGCGUGCACCACCACAUCUGGCUAAUUUAUUUUGUGGAGACAGAGUUCUACCAUGUUGCCCAGGUUGGUCUUGAAGUCCUGGACUCAAGGGAUGCUCCUGCUUUGGCCUCCCAAAGUGAUGGGAUUACAGGUGUGAGCCAGCCACUGUGCCUAGCCUCCUUGUCUGUUUUCAUGAUCAUGUUCUCAUGUUGCUUACAACUAUCCAUAUGUUGAUGACUAUCAAUUUUUAUCUAUACCUCUAAAUGUGUUUUUAAAAAAUGGCUUUAUAGGGCUAUAAUUGACAUAAAGCAAACCCCACACAUGAAAAUGUACAGUUUGAAGUGUUACAUAUAUAUAUACACACUGGUAAAAUCAUCACCAUCAUCAAGAUAGUGAACAUCCCUAUUAAUCCAAAAUGUUUCCUUGUGCCCCUUCUAUUAUUGAAAUUCUGCCCUGCUCUCCAACCCCCGCGUCCCACCCAGUAAGCCACUGAUCUGUUAUCUGUCAUAAAGAUGAGUUUUUUUAAUUUCCAGGAUUUUAUAUAAAUGGAAUCAUACAAAAUGUACUAUUUUUGUCUGAUUUCCUUCACUUAGCAUAAUAAUUUUGAGAUUCAUCCCUAUUGUAGUGUGUAGCAAUGCUUCAUUCCUUUUAUUGCUGAGUAGUAUUCCAUUGUAUGGCUAUACUGGCUAUAUUACUGUUGUUUUUUGUUUCUUUGUUUUGAGACGGAGUCUCACUCUGUUGCCCAGGCUGGAGUACAGUGGUGUGACCUUGGUUCACUGCAGUCUCCACCUCCUAGGUUCAAGUGAUUCUCCUGCUUCAGCCUUCCAAGUAGCUGGGACUAUAGAUACAUACCACAUUUUUUUUGUAUUUUUAGAUGAGACAGGGUUUUACCAUGUUGGCCAAGCUAGUCUUGAACACCUGAUCUCAGGUGAUCCGCCCACCUUGGCCUCCCAAAGUGUGGGAUUACAGGUAUGAACCACCACACCUGGCCAGCUGUACUGUUUAUUCACCUAUUGAUGUACAUUUGGGUUGUUUCCAGUUUUCAACUAUUAACCAUUAAAACUUCUAUAAACAGUCAUUCCUGCAGAAAUAUUGCAUGAACAUGUUAUUUCAUAUCUCGGGUGCUAAUUGUAUAGCAGUGGUCUAAAUCAUCUUAUGGUUGUGCCUUUUUACAUUCCUACCAGUGGUGUAUGAGUUUUCCAGUUGCUCUACAUCCUUGACAACAUUGUCAGUCUUUCUCAUUGUAGCCAUUUAAAUGGGUAUGUAGUGGUAUAUGGUUGUGGUUUUAAUUGGUUUCCCUAUUGAAUUAUAGUUUGAGUUUUGAGAGAUUUUUAUAUAUUCUGGAUGCAAGCUCUUCAUCAGAGAUGUGAUUAUAAAUAUUUUCAUAGUGUAUAAUCUUUUAAAUUUUGGUGAAGUCUAAUUUACAAAUUCUUUUAUGGAUCAUGCUUUUGGUGUGCUAAGAAAUCUUUGCCUAACCCAAAAUCACAAAGAUUUUCUUUCUUAUAGAAGUUUUAUAGGAGUUGUAGGCCCAUAAUCCAUUUUGAGUUAAUUGUGCAUGGUGCAAGAUAUGUACUGAAACUUACUUUUUGGUAUAUGUAUAUCCAAUUUGUUGUAAUGUCUAUCCUUUUCAGCUAUUUUUUCUUCACUGAAUUACCUUUGGACCUUUGUUAAAAAUCAGUUGUCCACAUAUGGUAUGGGUCUAUUUAUGGAUUCUCUGUUCCAUUAAUCUGUUUAUCUUUGUGCCAAUACCACAAGGUUGAAAAGUCUUGAAAUCAGGUAAUGUUCUCUCGAGAAUAACCCUAUGGUCGAAGAAGAACUUACGUUUGGAGUCCUGGGCUAAGGAAUCCAGAGUAGCAAACCCUGAGAUUCACUCCCUAUCUAUGAAGAACAUCCACACCUCUAGCCCAUAUCUUGGAACACAGGCUGUACAGGGGAUCAAGGCCCUUUGUUUUGGGUUCAGUGGAGGUUGCCAGAAAGAGGGUGCUAAGUGAAAAUACUACACAGACUAUAUGUUUUUUACAAACAGUAGCAGUUCUCCUAUCCAGCGUACCACCACUGGACCACCUUUAUAUGUAAGUCCUGAAUAAACCUUGUCUCCACUGGCUCUGCCUCUCCCUUUUUCUUUUUUUUUUUUUUUUUUGAGACAGAGUCUUGCUCUGUUGCCCAGGCUGGAGUACAGUGGUGCGAUCUUGGCUCACUGCAACCUCCACCUCCUGUGUUCAAAUGAUUCUUUUGCCUCAGCCUCCCCAGUAGCUGGGACUUACAAGGGUGUACCACCAUGCCCCGCUAAUUUUUGUAUUUUUAGUAGAGAUGGGGUUUCAUCAUAUUGGCGAGGCUGGUCUCAAACUCCUGACCUCGUGGUCCGUCCUUUUCGGCCUCCCAAAGUGCUGGGAUUACAAACCUGAGCUCCAUUGCCUGGCUCCACCUCUCUUCUUACAGUGCCAUUCCAAAUGGAGUCAGUGGGGGUCCAGAAGGACAACUGGCCAUUUAGAUAACAUUUGAAAGUUAACCAGUGUAAUUCACAGUAAAAAAUACAAAUGAACAUUUCAAUAAAGGCAGAAAAAGCAUUUGA